rnacentral:rRNA from 1 species
CCUACGGGAGGCAGCAGUGGGGAAUCUUGCGCAAUGGGCGAAAGCCUGACGCAGCCAUGCCGCGUGAAUGAUGAAGGUCUUAGGAUUGUAAAAUUCUUUCACCGAGGACGAUAAUGACGGUACUCGGAGAAGAAGCCCCGGCUAACUUCGUGCCAGCAGCCGCGGUAAUACGAAGGGGGCUAGCGUUGCUCGGAAUUACUGGGCGUAAAGGGAGCGUAGGCGGAUAGUUUAGUCAGAGGUGAAAGCCCAGGGCUCAACCUUGGAAUUGCCUUUGAUACUGGCUAUCUUGAGUACGGAAGAGGUAUGUGGAACUCCGAGUGUAGAGGUGAAAUUCGUAGAUAUUCGGAAGAACACCAGUGGCGAAGGCGACAUACUGGUCCGUUACUGACGCUGAGGCUCGAAAGCGUGGGGAGCAAACAGGAUUAGAUACCCUGGUAGUCCACGCUGUAACGAUAGAGUGCUAGUUGUCGGCGAUGCAUGCAUGUCGGUGACGCAGCUAACGACAUAAGACACGUCCGCCGUCGGGUAGGUACGGUCGCGAAGUAAGUUAAACUUAACGAAAGUAAGUUAGUUACGGCGUUGAGACGNGCGACGGACGACGACGAGGGAGGAGG